rnacentral:lncRNA from 1 species
AAACUUGUUCUUGCUUCCAUUUACAAUUUUAAGUUGGAGUUACCAUUUUGAGCUUGGUUCUAUGAGUGGAAUUGAGGUUCAAAUGAAAGAAAAUGAGUUUCUUCAAAUCAUUUUAGGUUGGACAAUUUCCAACUUUGUAUUUUGAAAGUCUUGGUCUAAUUUCUUCAAACGUUUGACUAUAAUCGAAGCUCUUGUGCUCCAAAUGGCUUUUACAACGUUGAUUUAGUAAGCACAUAAGGUUUUCUCCUCGAUUGCAACAAGAAAAUAUUAUAUUUUGAUAGGUUAUAUGGGUAUAAAACUUCUGAUGCAUUUUCUAAAUGAAGUUUUGAAACCACAAUUUUUUCAUGUAUUUUGGCUGUGUAUUGCUAGUCUUUUAAUAAAUAUAUGACCACAAGACUCGGGAGAAUUCAAGAGGACGAACCAGGGUUAAAGUGAAGGGUUUCAAUUGAUUGGUGAGUGUUCCAAUGCAUGUUAUUUGAUUGUGCAUGACUUGAGAAAAUGCUAUUAUUUGCUUAAGUGUUGUCUUUGAAUGACAUGCGAAUAAGUGAAUGACUGUUGUGAUUUUCUUGUCUUGUUAAUUUGUUAUGAAUGCAUGUUCAUAUUGCACGAAUGCAUGAUAAAUGUGCAAGAAUGUAGGCCGAUGUGUACUUUAUCGCAUCGACUGAACUGAGUUUAACCUUAUGCUGGCACGCUAUCCGAGACCCCCUAUUUGCGAGGUCAAAUCAGCUGGAUAG